GGAAAUAAUAACUCUUAAUCUUUUUGGCGUAAAAUCUUUCCUUAAUUUUUUUUCCUUAGCCUUUGUACAUUCCAAUUUAAACAGACACUUUAUUUUGAAAAAAUCAUGAAAAUUUAUACCUGAUUAACAUUUACUGAUUUUUAUGCUUGAAAGGCCAAUAAUAUAUGAAUCAUAUUAAAUAGCAUAAAAUCAUAAAAAGUAAAUAAAAUUAUUUCCCAUGGCCUUUAAGGAUUCUAUCACAUAUUUUGGUAAGAAAAUUUGGAAUUUGAAAAAAAAAAAAAAUCCAAAUGAACCGAAAUAACCCCAUAAUAAAAUAAAAUAAAAUUAAGGUUAGAUAAAAAUUUUAAAACCCUAAUCUAUUACAACUUUCCUAAAAAGCAAUUGCUUAGUUGCUUGUAACUCUUGAAGGAGCACUUGAGGAUUGUAUGAGUGCUCGAGCCUUUAAAAAAGUGGUUGAGUGUUGGUGGCUACUCGAGUGCUAAUCUAAAUGCUUUAGCACUAUCACUACAUCUCUAAAUCUGAAAAAGGUUUUUCUUCUUCUCUGUCCAUUUCUCCAUAAAAAAACUUACCUUUUCAAUUAGGUUUUUCCAUCAAGGAUUUGCCUAAAUGUUCGGAUUGCUUCCAUACUUCUCUUAGGUUACAAAGACGGAUAAAAAAAAAUGAUUUAACCCAAGAAAAGGUAUGAUAAAGUCGUAAAAAAAAUAACACAUAUCAACCAACAUGCAUAGGUUAUAGAAAAAAUACAACCAAGGUAAGAUUACACUUACAACACGUUCAAAAUCAAAUAAACAUUUCAAAGGUACAAAAUAGUGCUUGUGUAGAAGGUACUUAAAGAGAAAAAUAAAACUCAUGUUCAGAGGAUUGAAAUCAAGUGAUUCAAAUGCCUAAAGUGAAGCCUAAAAUGUGUGCAAUCAAGGAAAAAAAAAAUGAAAAUUAAUGAAUCCAUUUAAUAAUUUAAAUUCACCAAACAAGGUUAGGGGUAUAUAAUAGAGUGUGUAAAAGGCCUGUAGCAAGAUGAAUUUAAACUUAACAAUUGGAGCAUGAUAAUUAACUCAAACAAGUGUCUAAAUUCAACUACAAGAAGUGAUUGAUAUCAAAUAAGCAUAAAAAAAAAAAAUUAAAGAACUUGGAACUUGGCUAAAAUGACUUUACAACUUAGUGACACAAUAAGCACAAAACAGGAGACACAAGAUUUUUGGAUUUGAAAAUGAGACAUCUAGGGAUCUACCACUUCCCCUUUCAUUUAGCGUGAAAUUCCACAUAAUUUCCAUACCUUAAAUACCCACAACAAAGUUGCCAAAGUAGAGAAAUGACCUCAUAUGAAGUGUGCCCAAAUUUCACGCUUCUCAGAAAAUCACAAUUCAUUUGGAAAUUCAGUUUUUGAAAUAUAUACCAUUUUAAAAUGGUAGCAUGGACCUUUCUUUUGAAAACCAAUCUUGAACCUAAUGCUAGAAUGAAGCUUAAAAGGAUUUGAUCAUCAUUUUGAAAAUUCCAAUUAAAAAUCAAUUUGAAGACUCAUAAAAAUAAUUUUCACCAACAAGCAUUUAAACAAGGAAAUUCUAAGGCAUUUUAGACAACCUAAAGUGAAGGAAAGUGUGUGAAGUGAACGAAAAAACACUCAGCUGAACCUAUCACACAUGAGAAACUAAUUUUACCAAUUCAAACACUCUAAAAUAAUAUCUAAAAUUCUUGAGAAAACAAAGUAUGCAUAGAUCUACAAAUUCUCAUCAAAUUAGAAGCUAAAAUGACUAAGUACUGUAGGCUUGUGAGAUGUGUCCUAAUACUAAGAACUUCAAAUAACACAUUGAUGACAAAAGAAAAACCAAAAACUCAAUUCUAAACAUGAUUCAAAACUAUCUUUCAUGAAGCAUCAAAUAGUUUAAAGAUGGUAGAAGUGAAAACAAAUAAUAUUAACCAAAAUUGCAAGCUAACAAUCAUCAAUUAAGCCAAAUCAAUAUCACAAAACAACAAGCAUGGUGGCCUUUUCAUCCACCCCAUAUCUAGUGACUAAGAACAUACUAAGAAUUAGAAUCAAGAUGCUAAAAAUUAAAAGCAAGAAGAAGAAAGACAAACCAAAGGUCAUCAAAGGACUUCCAAUGCAAAGGCCUUUCCUCAUCUCCUUUCUCUCCCUCUCAAAAUAGCUAUCCAAAAACCAGCCAAGUGAAGAAGAAGAAGGUAAAGACCAUCAUCCC
rnacentral:lncRNA from 1 species